AGUUCCCUGUGUAGUUGAUGUCAUUAUCUUGCUAUCUAGAAAUUUUAUCCGCAGCUCUGGAAUCGUUAUAUUUGCCGAAAGGGGGAGCCAAGCUAAUCAGCAGCGGGAUUUGAUUUUGGAGCUCGACAGUUGGAUCAACAAAUUACACCCACUUCAAUAAUGAGAGGCCAUUAAGUGAUAAAUUAUGGUCGAGCAUGUGACCGGGGACUUUUUGAAUUUUAAUCAAGCUAAAAUUUGAGGCAGUUGCCAUCGGGUCAGGGUCGAAAGCCAUAAUUUCACUUUCAUUACUGACUGCUGCUCCUUGGAAUGUCCUGUUAAUGUGCCAUGCUCGAGUGGAGCAUAAAUCUAUUUAUGCGGUCCUCCGCAGCUUUCGCUACGGCUUGAACCCUUGGCGAAACUAUAUCGGCGGUAUGGGUCUUGUCUCAACUUAUCAGAUCGUAUAAUUUAGCGCAGAUAAUUGUUUUAAUGAUGUCAUAAUUUUGCCUUGAUGGCGUGCUUACAAAAUGGCUUCAACUGAUUUAUGCUCGACUCCGAUUCGAAUGCCCAUUCCCUCGAAGAGUGGAGGCGUUGGCCUGGGGGCUUGUGCACUUGUAGAUACCGCAGAUAGUGGCAUACGUAACCAGUUUGCCGCUCAACAAAAGAGUAAAUAACGGCAUUGCAUGAUUUAUGUGGAAAUAACAAACAAAAACGCAACCAAACGAAAUGCAGACGAAAAAAAAGACGAAAGAUCUUUCAAAGAAGUUUUUAAUGUCUUAUAUUAAUGGAAUAUGUUUAUUAUAUAUUUCUUAUACAUAGAUAUUUUUUUGCUUUUACCUAAUGAAAAUCGCAAUCUUUAUUCAUUUGGAACCUAA